rnacentral:rRNA from 1 species
CCUACGGGGGGCUGCAGUAACGAAUCUUCCGCAAUGCACGAAAGUGUGACGGAGCGACGCCGCGUGUGGGACGAAGUCCUUCGGGAUGUAAACCACUGUCAGGGGUAAGAAAGUUCUGAUCUACCCCAGAGGAAGGCACGGCUAACUCUGUGCCAGCAGCCGCGGUAAGACAGAGGUGCCGAGCGUUAGGCGGAAUCACUGGGCUUAAAGCGUGUGUAGGCGGACUUCUAAGUACCUUGUGAAAUCCCACGGCUCAACCGUGGAACUGCUUGGUAUACUGGUUGUCUUGAGCCACUUAGGGGCAGUCGGAACAGACGGUGGAGCGGUGAAAUGCGUAGAUAUCGUCUGGAACGCCAAAGGUGAAAACAGACUGCUGGGAGUGUGCUGACGCUGAGACACGAAAGCCAGGGGAGCAAACGGGAUUAGAUACCCUAGUAGUC